GACGAACGCUGGCGGCGUGCUUAACACAUGCAAGUCGAACGCUGAAGCUCAGCUUGCUGGGUGGAUGAGUGGCGAACGGGUGAGUAACACGUGAGUAACCUGCCCUCUUCUUUGGGAUAACGCCCGGAAACGGGUGCUAAUACUGGAUAUUCACUGAUUCUCGCAUGGGGGUUGGUGGAAAGGUUUUUUCUGGUGGGGGAUGGGCUCGCGGCCUAUCAGCUUGUUGGUGGGGUGAUGGCCUACCAAGGCUUUGACGGGUAGCCGGCCUGAGAGGGUGACCGGUCACAUUGGGACUGAUAUACGGCCCAGACUCCGACGGGAGGCAGCAGUGGGGAAUAUUGCACAAUGGGCGAAAGCCGGAUGCAGCGACGCCGCGUGAGGGAUGGAGGCCUUCGGGUUGUAAACCUCUUUCGCUCAUGGUCAAGCCGCAGCUUUGGGUUGUGGUGAGGGUAGUGGGUAAAGAAGCGCCGGCUAACUACGUG
rnacentral:rRNA from 1 species